rnacentral:sRNA from 1 species
AAAUUUAAUGAGCUCCAUUUCGAAAAUUUGACAUUAUUAAAUAUGAGAGAAUGGAGUUUGAUUACUAGACCCACCCGUCAAGCUGGGAUGAAAGUUGACCUUAGUGAUUCGACAAUGUCAAGUAAAGGGGGUCGUCGGUUAAUGGAUAAAAGUUACUCUUGGGUUAACAGGUUUAUAUUUCUCAAAAUCUUAGAUCGAUGGAAAAGUUUGGCACCUCAAUGUCAGCUAUUCACCACCUUUAGGAUCAAAUACGGUAUGCGAGUUAGCUUCGAGGUUGUUCACAUCCGGGCC